rnacentral:lncRNA from 1 species
CUCUUCAUCUUCAUAUUUAAUCUUCUCUGGGAGAAUAAGCACUCCAAUCUCUUCUCCAGAUUCAACCAUGUUUAAGAACUGAAUUAUGGAAGUAACAGUUAAUUCAAGUGAAAAGAAAAAUGUAAAUAUAAUGUAGUUACUAUAACUGUAAUUGAAGAAUUAUACAAAGGUUAAAAAAAACCUUGAGCCACUCAGGCUUGACGAUCUUGUCUUCAAUUAC